GGGUACCUGGCGCAAUGGCUAGCGCAUCUGGCUUCGAUUGCUUGAUGUUCACCAGAAGGCUGUAGGUUCGAGUCCUGCGGUGCUCA
rnacentral:tRNA from 1 species